rnacentral:rRNA from 1 species
UACGUAGGGGGCAAGCGUUGUCCGGAAUCAUUGGGCGUAAAGAGCGUGUAGGCGGUCCGGUAAGUCGGCUGUGAAAGUCCAAGGCUCAACCCUGGGAUGCCGGUCGAUACUGCCGGACUAGAGUUCGGAAGAGGCGAGUGGAAUUCCCGGUGUAGCGGUGAAAUGCGCAGAUAUCGGGAGGAACACCUAUGGCGAAGGCAGCUCGCUGGGACGUUACUGACGCUGAGACGCGAAAGCGUGGGGAGCAAACAGG